GGAGUCUGGACCGUGUCUCAGUUCCAGUGUGGGGGACCUUCCUCUCAGAACCCCUACCGAUCGUAGCCACGGUGGGCCGUUACCCCGCCGGCAACCUAAUCAGACGCAUCCCCAUCCCAUAGCGAUGAAUCUUUGCUUGACGUUAGAUGUCUGCUGUCAAGAACAUAGGGAAUUAAUCCGACUUUC
rnacentral:rRNA from 1 species